rnacentral:ncRNA from 1 species
GAUAAAUUUUUUAUGGUUUUAAAAAUUUAUUUUGUAUUUAUUUUACAUAUAAAUUUUAGUAUUAAAUUUUAAUUAUUUUAAUAAUAAUUAAUUGUAUAUUUAUAGUAAUUAAAAUUAAAAAUUUAAGAAAUUAAGAUUUAGUAAUAUAAAAAUUAAUAACUAAUUUUGUGCCAGCAGUUGCGGUUAAACAAAAGUUAAAUUAAAUUAUUUCAGUAUAUAAUUAAUAAAUAAAAAUUAAAAUAAAUAUUAAAUUAUUAGGUGAAAUUUUAAUUUAAUUAAAAUUUAUAUAAAAAUUAUGAUUUAAUAAAUUUUAAUAUAAACUAGGAUUAGAUACCCUAUUAUUAAAAAUUUAAUUUAAAAUACUAAAAUAGUAAAUAUAUAUUAUUAAAACUUAAAUAAUAUGGCGGUAUUUUAGUUCAUUUAGAGGAAUCUGUCUAGUAAUUGAUAAUCCACGAAUAAAUUUACUUAAUUUAAUAUUUUGUAUAUCAUUGUUAAAAAAAUAUUUUUUAAUAAAAAUAAUAUUUAAAAAUUUUUAAUAUAAAUUAAUUCAGAUCAAGAUGCAGAUUAUAAUUAAGUUUAAGAUGGAUUACAAUAAAAUUAUUUAAACGAAAAAAAUUUUGGAAAAUUUAAUUGAAGGUGGAUUUAAAUGUAAUUUUAAUUAGUUUAUUAAAAUGAUUUAAUAUUAAAAUAUGUACAUAUUGCCCGUCACUUUCAUUUAAAAAUUGAAAUAAGUCGUAACAAAGUAGAGGUACUGGAAAGUGUUUCUAGAAUGAA